UUUUUCAUUUUUGACGGAUUGAAGCUCGGGAAGAGGCAAUUUUUGGGAGAUUUUCAAGGAAUACAACGAAGUAAGUGUUCUUAACUCAUUAUUGGUCAAAUUACCCGAAUCCAUAGUUGUUUUAACAUUUAAUGGGUGAAUUAAGUUGGAAAGAUUAGAAAAUCCUCUUGGUUUAAUUUGAAGAUUUGAGGGUCGAGUUGAUGUUGGAUUAAGUAAAAUUGUUACGGUUAGACUCGUGGUUGAAUGGGCUUUCGAAUUUUGUAACUUUUAUCGGAUUCCGAGACGUGGGCCCCACGUGCGAUUUUUGAGUUAAAUUUUGGAUUUUUAUGGAAAAAUUAUAUUUUCAUAUGGAGUUAAUUCCAAUAAAAGUUAUUGACUGAAUCGAAUUAUUUAUGGCUAGAUUCGAGGCAUUUGGAGGCCAAUUCACGAGGCAAAGACCUAGCGGAAUAAAGAAUUUCACGGUUUGAGGUAAGUAACCGUUCUAAAUUUGGUCUUUAGGGUAUGAAACCCCGGAAUAUGUAUUAUGUGAUUCGUUUUGAGGUGACGCACAUGCUAGGUGACGGGCAUGUGGGUGUACACCAUAGAAAUUAUGACUUGGUCAAUUCCAUGGAACUGUGUAGUUGAAAAAUCUGUUGAUAUCCGUAGAUUUUUCCCCGUAUUAGAGAAAUUGAUCUAUGAAUCAUGUUUAAAUCAUAUGUUUACACUGUUGCUAAAUUACUGUUUUGCACUCACUCACAGUUCUAUUUGCACAUUUUUACCUCAGUCUCUCUUAUUCAUUAUUGAUGCAUCAUAUCAUUGUUGUUGGGCUGCUUAUCAUGAUUUCUGAGAGCCCAAGAGACUGGAGAGAUUGAUGAUUGAGUGAGGCCGAGGGCUUAAUUAUGAGGAUAUUUAUGGAUCGGGCUGCAUGCCAUAACAUGUUCAUUGAUUUAUGCCAUGGUUGGCUUGAUAUAGCGCUUGGGCUGAAGGAUCCCCUCCGGAGUCUGUACACACCCCCAGUGAGCGCAGGUACCUACUGAGUGCGAGUGUCGAGUGCCGAGUGAUGAGUGAUUGUGAGGAAAGAGUGACUGUGAGGUUGGAGUGAAUGGGAGGACUGAGUGACUGUUACUCUGAGAGGAUGCAUUGAUUUCAUUAUUUGCUGCAUUCCAGCUGUCAUAUAUCACUAUUUUGAAAAUUUCGGAAAAGAAAAAUAUUAUUUUUGGUUUCGGUAAAACUUGAUAUGAAAUUUCAGUGAAAUCUUAAAUGUCGAAUUUGAGAGCAUGCUUACUCUUUAAUAUUGGAAAGUAUUGUAUUUGGACCUAGCUGAGAAGUUCGUCACUACUUUCAGUUCCUUAUUUAUUAUUAUUACUUACUGAGUUGGUUGUACUCAUACUACACCCUGCACUUCGUGUGCAGAUCGAGGUAAUCUCGGAUACAGUGAGUGUUGAUUCUUUCGUACAAUCGAUUUUUCAGAGAUUUAGAGGUAGCUGUUUCGCAGACCUUGUCUCUCCUUCCCUAUCCCUUUGUUAUUGUAUUUGGUCUCAGAUUAUUAUUAUAGACCAGAUUUUUCCCAGACUUGUAAUGUAUAGAUGCUCAUGUACUUAGUGACACCAGAUUUUUGGAAUAUGUUUUACCUAGUAUUUGUGGAAUUUUCACUUAAGCUUAAAUUAUGAUGUUUUCCGUAUUUAAAAGAUAUUGUGGGUUAUUAACGAUGUCGGCUUUCCUAGUAUUGAGAUAGGCGCCAUCAUGACGGGUGUGAUUUUUGGGUCAUGACAAGUUGGUAUCAGAGCCUAAGUUACUGUCACGACCCAACUGGAGGGUCAUGACUAGCACCCGGGACAUACUUGCCGAGCAC
rnacentral:lncRNA from 1 species